rnacentral:rRNA from 1 species
AUUGAACGCUGGCGGAAUGCUUUACACAUGCAAGUCGAACGGCAGCAUAGGUGCUUGCACCUGAUGGCGAGUGGCGAACGGGUGAGUAAUACAUCGGAACGUGCCCAGUCGUGGGGGAUAACGUAGCGAAAGUUACGCUAAUACCGCAUACGAUCUACGGAUGAAAGCGGGGGACCGUAAGGCCUCGCGCGAUUGGAGCGGCCGAUGUUAGAUUAGGUAGUUGGUGGGGUAAAGGCUCACCAAGCCGACGAUCUAUAGCUGGUCUGAGAGGAUGAUCAGCCACACUGGGACUGAGACACGGCCCAGACUCCUACGGGAGGCAGCAGUGGGGAAUUUUGGACAAUGGGCGCAAGCCUGAUCCAGCCAUUCCGCGUGCAGGACGAAGGCCUUCGGGUUGUAAACUGCUUUUGUACAGAACGAAAAGCUCUGGGUUAAUACCCUGGGGUCAUGACGGUACUGUAAGAAUAAGCACCGGCUAACUACGUACG